CCAGUAUCCUAACGGUUAAAAAUACGCAAUGUAAUUAACGGUAAUAAUAAUCAAAGGAUACCUAACGAAAGGAGGAGAAAAGGAGAAAUUCGACAUUUACGUUUCGCGUCGUUCUAGUAAGGGGAUUGUUCACAGCAUCAUAGUCUGUUGAACACACUUACAGAGGAUAGUUAUUCCGCGGAGAUAAAGAACACGCUCUAAAGUUAACGCAUCUAGGUAUAGUGAUAUUAUAUUAAUAUUCAUAAAAAUUAGUUGUAUCACGAAUUCACGGUUUUUCG